UACGAAGGGGGCUAGCGUUGUUCGGAAUUACUGGGCGUAAAGCGCACGUAGGCGGACAUUUAAGUCAGGGGUGAAAUCCCGGGGCUCAACCCCGGAACUGCCUUUGAUACUGGGUGUCUUGAGUGUGGUAGAGGUGAGUGGAAUUGCGAGUGUAGAGGUGAAAUUCGUAGAUAUUCGCAAGAACACCAGUGGCGAAGGCGGCUCACUGGCCCGGUACUGACGCUGAGGUGCGAAAGCGUGGGGAGCAAACAGG
rnacentral:rRNA from 1 species